rnacentral:lncRNA from 1 species
CCGCUACAUCACCUUCCUGUUUAAGUGAGCACAGCACAACAAGGUGUCUAAAAAUGUAUUGUAUGCUGCUGCAUAAAUUAUGUCAUAUUCCAGGGAGAUAUGUAUACUGUAGCUAAGAAUGUAAUACUAAGUGUAUGUUGUGUAGUAAGAUGUUAGUAGCCCAUGCGUCUCACCAUAAUAAUUUGGUCUAUUUACCGCUCUUAAUUUUGCCUACUGUUCUGACCUGGUGGUGCACAUGUAGCCUAUAACCUGUUUUAGAGAAAUGUAAUCAUCAAAUAUUAUAAGAGCUUUCAUUGUCUGCUUCAAUGCCCCCUUUACUUAUCCUAUGGUUCUGACUUGGUGUACAGGGAGAACACUGUAACAACGGCCCAUGUUUUGAAUUCUGUCGCUGUACAUUUCAAAAGUGCUAAACAAAUAGUUGAAUUGACUAUGUCCAUCCUAGCUCACUCAUUAAUGUCUUAAUCGAAAUUACAGAUUGCCUCUUAUCAGCUUGUUGUCUGUCCCCUUACGUCAUAGUUUGUACAUCUCAAUUUUCAUUAGAAACCACAUUUGUUUAAACAAGUCAGCCAUAUCAGCUAUGUUUUUUAAAAGUCAGUAAAUGAGGCUGAAUGAACUGUUUCGCUGCCAGACAAGGCUCUGCUGAUAGCCAGGUGUAGCAGUGGUAAGAUGUUGGGACUGCUGUUGGGACAGCUUUAUGUAGGCCCUAACAGUUUGUGGGCACCGUUUGUCACCGUUAUAGUGCAAUUAAUGUAUUGCUUAGUGUUGUGUUGUAGUGCUUUUGCUGGCAUGCAUCCCACUUUCUUUUUUUUGCCCAUACCAAGAUCCACUGAUAAUUUCUUGGUCUAUUUUGCUUGAAUAGCAUUACUGUGCUCAAUAGUCAAAAGGCGGCGCACAUAUGAAAAUGGGUCCCCAUUAAUAUCAGAUAACGGUGUGUUAUUAAAAAUGUGUUGUAAAUGCGAGCCUAUCCUUUAUUGUUCUAAUCUUAGUCAAAUCUCCUAUUGUCCAUGGACAGGAGACGAUGUUUACUUUUGUGAGGAUUCAAAAAUGGGAAUGGUUAGAUCAUCCACACAUCCACACACACACGCGUAUACACUGACUGUACAAAACAUUUGGAACAGCUGCUCUUUCCAUGACAUAGACUGACCAGGUGAAACCAGGUGAAAGCAAUGAUCCCUUAUUGAUGUCACCUGUUAAAUCCACUUCAAUCAGUGUAGAUGAAAGGGAGAAGACAGGUUAAAGAAGGAUCUUUAAGCCUUGAGACAAUUGAGACAUAGAUUGUGUGUCAUGUCCUGACCAGUAAAGAGGUUAUUUGUUAUUGUAGUUUGGUCAGGACGUGGCAGGGGGUGUUUGUUUAAUGUGUUUCGGGGUUUGUUGGGCAAUGUUCUAUGUUAGUCUAUUUCUAUGUCCUAUUUAGUAGGGUUGUUUUUUCAUGGGUUUUUGUGGGUAGUUGUUCCUUGUGUAGUUGUGUGCCUUACAGGACUGUUUUCUCGUUG